rnacentral:rRNA from 1 species
CUACGUGCCAGCAGCCGCGGUAAUACGGAGGGUGCGAGCGUUAAUCGGAAUAACUGGGCGUAAAGGGCACGCAGGCGGUGACUUAAGUGAGGUGUGAAAGCCCCGGGCUUAGCCUGGGAAUUGCAUUUCAUACUGGGUCGCUAGAGUACUUUAGGGAGGGGUAGAAUUCCACGUGUAGCGGUGAAAUGCGUAGAGAUGUGGAGGAAUACCGAAGGCGAAGGCAGCCCCUUGGGAAUGUACUGACGCUCAUGUGCGAAAGCGUGGGGAGCAAACAGGAUUAGAUACCCUGGUAGUCCACGCUGUAAACGAUGUCGAUUUGGGGGUUGAACUUUAAGUUUGGCGCCCGUAGCUAACGUGAUAAAUCGACCGCCUGGGGAGUACGGCCGCAAGGUUAAAACUCAAAUGAAUUGACGGGGGCCCGCACAAGCGGUGGAGCAUGUGGUUUAAUUCGAUGCAACGCGAAGAACCUUACCUACUCUUGACAUCUAGA